rnacentral:rRNA from 1 species
AUUGAUUGGCAUCAAUUGAUAUUGAAAGCUCCGGCGGAUAGAGAUGGGCACGCGCAAGAUUAGCUAGUUGGUGAGGUAACGGCUCACCAAGGCGAUGAUCUUUAGGGGGCCUGAGAGGGUGAUCCCCCACACUGGUACUGAGACACGGACCAGACUCCUACGGGAGGCAGCAGUGAGGAAUAUUGGUCAAUGGGUGCAAGCCUGAACCAGCCAUCCCGCGUGAAGGACGACUGCCCUAUGGGUUGUAAACUUCUUUUGUAUAGGGAUAAACCUACCCUCGUGAGGGUAGCUGAAGGUACUAUACGAAUAAGCACCGGCUAACUCCGUG